GACCUUUUUCGGGUGCAGCGAACUAGGGCUUUUAGGUCUCAGAUCUUUGAAUAAAAUCGAAAUGGGCAGAGAUUGAAAGGCAAUAAAAUGCUUAAGUUUUCUUUGAGAAGUGGUAGAAAAACAACAAUGUAUUUAUAGGAGAAAGUUAGGGUUUGUGUAGUG